UAACACGUAGGGGGCGAGCGUUGUUCGGAAUCAUUGGGCGUAAAGGGUGCGCAGGCGGCAUGCCAAGUCUGGUGUGAAAGAUCCCGGCUCAACCGGGGAGACGCACUGGAAACUGGCGUGCUUGAGUACAGGAGGGGGAGUUGGAAUUCCAGGUGUAGGGGUGAAAUCUGUAGAUAUCUGGAAGAACACCGGUGGCGAAGGCGAACUCCUGGCCAUGUACUGACGCUGAGGCACGAAGGCGUGGGGAGCAAACAGG
rnacentral:rRNA from 1 species